UACAGAGGGUGCGAGCGUUUAAUCGGAAUUACUGGGCGUAAAGCGUGCGCAGGCGGUUUUGUAAGCCAGAUGUGAAAUCCCCGGGCUCAACCUGGGAAUGGCAUUUGGGACUGCAAGGCUGGAGUUUGGCAGAGGAGACUGGAAUUCCUGGUGUAGCAGUGAAAUGCGUAGAUAUCAGGAGGAAUACCGAUGGCGAAGGCAGGUCUCUGGGCAGUAACUGACGCUGAGGAGCGAAAGCGUGGGGAGCGAACAGG
rnacentral:rRNA from 1 species